UACGGGGCGCAGCAGGCGCGAAAACUUUACAAUGCGGGAAACCGUGAUAAGGGAACUCCGAGUGCCCGUAAAAUCGGGCUGUCCAUCUGUUUAAAUAACAGGUGAAGAAAGGGCCGGGCAAGACCGGUGCCAGCCGCCGCGGUAAUACCGGCGGCUCGAGUGGUGGCCACUAUUACUGGGCUUAAAGCGUUCGUAGCUGGUUUGUUAAGUCUCUGGGGAAAUCUACCGGCUUAACCGGAAGGCGUCUCAGGGAU
rnacentral:rRNA from 1 species